rnacentral:lncRNA from 1 species
UGACUUUUGGUCACUAAAUCCAUGGUAACUCCUUGUUGGAAACCUUGAUUCAUAUAAAACUUAUUUCAUCAGUAAACAGAUUGAUAUAUCUUUCAACAGUAGUUUUCUUAUGGGUAUUGGAGCAUAAUUGAUAUUCUGAAGUAUUUGUUCUAUGUGCCACUUGAAUUCUGUCAGAAAUCGAGCUUUGGUCGAUUUCGCGUAUUCUGUUCCAUUCCUUUGGAUAUUGAAUUCAUUUAACCUUCUUAUUUGAAUUGAGCUAAAUAUGAUUGCUUGAAAUCCCUGUAUACCCUUGCUUUCAUUUCAUUCCAAAUUUGAAUACAUUUGUGAGAGAUUUGUUCCUUGCAUCGUAUUGUCUCGAAAAGGCACAUGUACGUUUUGUUGUUCCGCGUGUGCUUCCGAUAUAUGCUACUUAUUGUUAAAACUGCCCUCUUGUAUUCUGGUGUUGUGGGAUUGUCUGGACCUUUGCCAGAAAUGGUAAAGGGUAUGUGUUUAGAGCCUGCGAUGCUCUGCCGGCCCCCUCUGGCUUCACCUAGACGUGGGUGGAUGGAGCUCCCAGACGUGGGAGACUUCUGUCUGGUGGUCAUUCAGAAAUGGAUGAAUCACAUUCUGUCUGAGGUCCCACUACACCUUCUGUAUGUUUGAUAUGAUAUCCAGAGCUUUGGUUAUGUGUUUCGGUACAUGCUUUGGAUAAGAAUGAUAUGAUUGUAACGUCAAAGACGACGUUUGAGCUUCUGUACG